UACGUAGGGGGCGAGCGUUGUCCGGAAUUAUUGGGCGUAAAGAGCUUGUAGGCGGUCUGUUGCGUCUGCUGUGAAAAUCCGGGGCUCAACCCCGGACUUGCAGUGGGUACGGGCAGACUAGAGUGUGGUAGGGGAGACUGGAAUUCCUGGUGUAGCGGUGAAAUGCGCAGAUAUCAGGAGGAACACCGAUGGCGAAGGCAGGUCUCUGGGCCACUACUGACGCUGAGAAGCGAAAGCAUGGGGAGCGAACAGG
rnacentral:rRNA from 1 species